UGGGACUGUGUUUUUAAGUCAGAGCGCGGCCAUUAAGCCUCGCUGGGUGAGAUACGUGUGACUGUGAGGUGAUGGCCUGACUUCUCAGCUCUUCAUUAAUACAUUCCAGCCAGCCCGGGGUGGCCCAUAGGGACAGGGUGAGGUGAGGAACUGGAAAUAUUCCCCGCAACUCAGUAAAGAUGGCAGGCAACUUGGAGAACUCUGCCCCCUCAAGGGGAACGUGGUUCUUACCCACCCUCCCCAGGCCUAUGAAUGAGCAAAGCCAGAGCGUCCCCUCUCCUCCAUUAAGCAGAUGUUCUACACAUCGCCCUCCCACUCCUUCUGCAGACCCGAGGGAGCAGCAGAACCGCUCACGUGAGAGCCGCCAGAAGGCAAGGACCGGCGCGCCCAUUCUAUCACAAGAGCAAGCUCACAGUCAAUUAUCUCAUUGUCAGAGUCUCGGUGCCCCUGCCCUACUCCACCCCCUUGGGAUCCUGUGCAUCCGAGCUUCUUUAUUUGGAAUCAUCAUCAUGUCACCAUCAAAAAUAUUUAUUCAGCUUCUGCAUAUAUAUUGUUCUGGUCACCCCAUUGAUUUUUCUCUCAUGGCAUGUAUGUAAUUUCCACUCUAUCUUUUUGAAGUUGCUUGACAUGAGUUUCUGUCAUCUUUAUACAUCAUCAGGUACGGUAUUCAAGAGCCCCAGAACUCAGAAUGGGUCCCCAGCCUUCCCUUUGCUUGGCCGUAGAAAUAACACCAGGUCUUGGUGCAGGGCAUCUUGGAUCAGGGACUGACAGAAUGGCUGCCUCUUCCAAGUACAAUCCAGAACGGAGUGGACUGAGACAUGUAGUAGUUUAUAAUCUAAAAUCAUACCACAGAGGAAACACGCAACGGGUACACAUACCACUCUACCGAUUGGCUUCGUUGCUGGAACAACAUUGGUCCAAAUGUGUUCAAAGAACACAUUGGGAUGUUGAAGUACGUUAAUAGAAAAAAAGGGGGAAGCCCCUUGGGAUGUUGAAGUAUGUUAAUAGAAAAAAAGGGGGA